rnacentral:lncRNA from 10 species
AGAAUUAGUGCUGUGUUCUGUGCGAGGCUUAUUACCACCGAGGCUCUCUCUCUGCUCGCUGGAACGGCAGCUAGAAAACUGGGAGGAGAGCUUCCUGGCAGCAUUAGCAAACUAGCAGCCCCUGAAGGGCGACGAGAAAGAUAUGUAGAUGUGAUGUCUGGAACUCAUGCAGCUAUCUUGCAACGACCAGGAUGAGGCUAAGAGAAUAGGAGAGAUCCUUGCUCAAACAGGCUGAACUCGAGUAUUUUGGGCCCUAAGAAGGAAGGACAAAGAUCCCUGGAGAACUCUCCUGUGGUGUCCUUGUUUUGAGUAGCAAUGGAGGGCAUGUCAUUGGUGGUACACUUUACAGUUAUCAAAUACUGAGGCUAGAUCAUGAAGGAACUAGAGGAUGAAUGGACAUUACCCCUGGAUGCUGGUCUUGAACACAGAUGCCGUAACCAUAAUCCUUCAGCUGUUUUCAUCUUGGCCCCAGGAGCUUGUCCUCAUUUUCUGAGGCGACAGAAGAGGAACUGAGAACCCAAAUUCUUUGUGCAAUGCAGGCUCUCUGGGUGUCAAAUACCCAUAAAACCAUUGCAUCCCGGCCUCAAGGUGGUGGUAUUUGCCUCCCACUCUCAAAGGAACAUCUGGAAGCCUGAAUGGAGAAGGAGGGCUGAUCAGCCAUCAGCUCAGCUGGGGCAGUGUUCCCUGACCUGUCAGCUCUUCCCCUUCAGACCUCAGAGGAUAGAGAGGGUCAGCUGGCAACCUCCACUGAGCCUGUGAACCAGUCCCAGGAGCUUCUCCAGCAGGUGUUUGUCCUUAGGCGGAGAUGUUUCCUGGAUGCCUCACUCCUUUGCCUCUCAAGGAUAAAUGCCCCGAUGACAGAAACCCCCAGCCCCUGCCCAGUGACAGGAAGUGCUGACUUCAACACUGGGUCCUGCCAUUUACCAGAGAGCCCUUGAAGAAAAAAUCAAGAGGAGAAAGGCCCAAAAGAAAGAAAACACGGUGGGCCAGAAAAAUUUCAUCAGGCAGAUUGCUUCAAGAUGAAGACCAACCAGAGAAAAUAUUCCCAGGAGUUAAAAUACGCAGCACGUUUUAGAUACCAAUGACGGCGAUUUGCUUUCUCUUCAUUUCUGUCUUCACAUUGCUGACAACUCCCCUCAUUGUCUUAAAUAUGGAUUGCCAAAGUCAAUUAAAUACGCAAGAGGAACAUUGUACAUUUUGGAGGAAAGUAAUUAUUGUUACACCUUAGAGCAGCUUAAUGAAUACAUUAAUAAACGAUCCUUCGCCAUGUUUUUCUUUUCAUAGCCAUCAAAAUCUUUAUAAAACCUACAGCACAAUACAUAACAUCUCGUUACAAGAUUUGCUUUUAAAAAAAUCAAUGCAUACCUAA